GUAACACGUAAACAACCUGCCUUCAGGAUGGGGACAACAGACGGAAACGACUGCUAAUACCGAAUAAGUUCCAAGAGCCGCAUGGCCCAUGGAAGAAAAGGUGGCCUCUACCUGUAAGCUAUCGCCUGAAGAGGGGUUUGCGUCUGAUUAGCUGGUUGGAGGGGUAACGGCCCACCAAGGCGACGAUCAGUAGCCGGCUUGAGAGAGUGAACGGCCACAUUGGGACUGAGACACGGCCCAAACUCCUACGGGAGGCAGCAUG
rnacentral:rRNA from 1 species